rnacentral:misc_RNA from 1 species
CGAGGAAGGUGGGUAAGGCGCACUGCGCAGGGAGACAAUUUGAUAAGGCCGGUCCACCUAAAAAUCCAGAUCGGAGGACACAAUCGUAAAUUCAUGCCCCAUCUUUAAAUUGCAACAAACUACAAAAUAACGAAAGUGGCGAAGGAAAAAGAGAAAAAAGUGGAGAGAGCCGUCCCCUUCUUACGUCCUUUGUAUUGAAGCCCCAAAGGCCACACAAUUUCACAGUCUUCUCCUUCUCUUUCUCCUCCUCCUCCUAUUCUUCACCUUCAUUUCCUUAAACUAACACGCUCUAAUUCCAAUCCAAUCUAAACCAACCCAUUGUCUUCCGUCGGUUAAUACAGUUUUCAGAUCUAAUCAAUUCAAUCGGAGACGAGAUUCUGACCCGAUCGCACCUUACUUUGUUUCAUUGGUACACGCUAAGAGAGAUAGAACGAUGUCGUGUUCUUCUUCGUCAGGUUCUGAAUCCGAGGACGAUGAGGGAAUCGAUUCUUAUAGGAAAGGCGGUUAUCAUGCCGUUAGAGUCGGCGAUCAAUUCGCUGGUGGCCGUUAUAUCGCACAGAGGAAGCUUGGCUGGGGCCAGUUCUCUAUUGUCUGGCUCGCUUAUGAUACUCAAUCCUCUAAUUAUGUUGCACUUAAAAUCCAGAAAAGUGCUGCACAAUUUGCUCAGGCUGCCCUUCACGAAAUUGAAAUCCUCUCAGCUAUAGCUGAUGGCGAUCCAUCUAAUUCCAAAUGUGUUGUGCGACUGAUUGACCACUUCAAGCAUGGAGGACCAAAUGGGCAGCAUCACUGCAUGGUCCUUGAAUUUCUUGGUGACAGCUUGCUCCGGCUAAUCAGGCAUACUCGUUACAAAGGUCUGCAAUUGAAUAAAGUUAGAGAGAUAUGCAAAUGCAUUUUGAUAGGCCUGGAUUACUUGCAUAGGGAACUUGGUUUGAUCCACACUGACCUAAAGCCUGAAAAUAUUCUUCUCUAUUCCACUAUUGAUCCUGCCAAGGAUCCAAUUAGAUCUGGGCUCACACCAAUUCUUCAAAGGCCUGAAGGUAGCCUUAAUGGUGGGGCUACAAUGAAUAUCAUUGAGAAGAAGCUGAAAAGGAGAGCAAAGAGGGCAAUUGCUAAGAUUUCAGAAAGAAGAGCUUCAAUGGGAGGAGCU